UGAAGUUCCCCUAAGUGGAUGAUAAUGAAGUAACGGUAAUGUCUGAUACCGUAUACAGUAUGACUGUCUUUAGCCCUCCCCAAAUCUCCCUGAACACUUUCAGCCUCACCCCACCCCUCCCCUCUGUGAAUGCCACAGGCCUCUCACCCCUCAGUCCAGAUUUAGACCUCAUUUGCGCCCAGGCAUUCAGACGUGCUGGUUGAAGCUGGCUGGUAGUGCACAGAUUCCCUCUUUUCUCUUGUCUUUGGCGUACUCCCCCUCCCUUCCUCACCAUGCCUCCACUCCUUCAUCACUUUAUCUGACAAAGUACCAGAGCCAUCCAAAUGUCUAAGUUGGACAGUGGGAAGAGCAUUGUAAUCAAGAGCUUUGCCAGUCGGUCAGGUUCCACGGAGGCGGACCUCCUGCUCCUCGUUCCCAGCCAUGGAGCCUCUUGCAGAGGUUCCCUUAUUUGAGAUGGAUGAGGAAGAAGAUGAGGAAGAGGAUGUCCUCUCAAUGAAGAGCAGAGGUGGUUGUACAUAUGCGCCACGUGCUCUUGCGCCCCCUGCAGACACAGACCCUGACACAUUCAUAUACAUGAACUUCAUGAAGAAUCACUCCUGUUACGAUGCCAUUCCUACCAGCUCCAAACUGGUCAUUUUUGACACCACACUACAGGUGAAAAAGGCUUUCUUUGCUCUGGUGGCCAAUGGUGUGAGGGCAGCACCACUAUGGGACAGCAAGCUGAAGUGUUUUGUGGGUAUGCUGACCAUCACUGACUUCAUCAACAUUCUCCAUCGUUAUUACAAGUCUCCUCUGGUUCAGAUCUACGAGCUGGAAGAACACAAGAUAGAGACAUGGAGAGAGAUCUAUCUGCAGUACUCUACCAACAGACUGAUCAGCAUCACUCCUGACUGCAGUUUGUUUGAUGCCAUCUACUCCUUGCUGAAGAAUAAAAUACAUCGACUGCCAGUCAUCGACCCAGCAUCAGGAAACGUCCUGCACAUCCUCACUCACAAACGUAUCCUCAAGUUCCUCCACAUCUUUGGAUCUAUGAUUCCUAAACCCAGGUUUCUUCAAAAGCGGAUCAGUGAUGUGGCAAUCGGUACCUUCAAACAAGUUGCAACAGUUCAGGAAACAGCUUCUGUCUAUGAUGCUCUGGCCAUUUUUGUAGACAGAAGAGUGUCCGCACUGCCUGUGGUCAAUGAGCAUGGAAAAGUGGUGGCACUGUACUCCAGGUUUGAUGUCAUUAACCUCGCAGCGCAGAAAAACUACAACAACCUGAGCAUGACAAUGCGGGAGGCAAUUACCUCCAGAGCCUGUUGUGUGGAGGGAGUCCUCAAGUGUUACCAUUACGAAACACUGGAGACAGUCAUCGACCGUAUUGCAAAGGCUGAGGUGCAUCGUUUGGUGUUGGUUGACAGUGACGAUGUGGUGAGAGGGAUUGUCUCUCUAUCUGACCUUCUUCAAGCCCUGGUUCUCACUCCUGCAGGUAUUGAUGCACUGCACUCCUAACUCUUUCUCUCAGACCCCUGGUUAUCUGUCCAUCUACCUAUCUGCCUUCAAAUCCUCGAAAGCUUCCUGCUGCUUCUGGUGACCUACUGUUUGCUUCUCCUCAUGUGAACACUUAUGUUCCUACUGAACAAACUCUUCUUCAUUUAACUUUUCAUGCUCCUGAAAAUGACGAGUGUUUGUCACCUGUUCCUGUGAAAUACUGCGGUAUCAAAUUUCCUCCCUGGCUGAAAUCUCCUGAUCUUUUCAACUAUCCAUCUUAUGUUCCAACCAAGAUCAGCUUCAGAAUUUUUUACUUAAACUUUGCUGCUAACCAUCUCCUGCAAAGUCUUUUGCUCCUUCAAAAUCAACCAACCACCUCAUCAGGAACCUCCUCCUCUGUCAUCCUUACAUUUCCUCUAACUCUCUCAUUUUGAGCAUCAAACAAAAUAAUCCCAGAGGCUGUUGUGAUACACCCUUCCCCUGGAAAAUAAGCAGACGCUCUCUCAAAACCCGGCGCAAAUCACCCAACCACUAUUGAAUGUUUAAUCUUCCAAUCCAACUUCAAAACCAGGUCACUUACCCCUGCCAAACUCCUGUGAUCCUACCCACCAAACAAGAAGUUUAUUUAUCUUCUAAGGAAACCCUCUUCCAAACAUCCUUCUUUCAUCAGUCAGCCAUCGUCUUCAUGCUGCCAUCAUGCCACCAGAACCACUUAGCCAACAGAUAUUUAUGAGAGAUCAUGCUGUCAAGACUGAAGAAAACAAGACCGAGACUUUGAGGUGACACUCAAUCAGAGGUUAGCAGAGCAGGGUUAUGGCCUCAGAAGACAAAUGUGGAAAGAGAAAGUGAUAAUGGAAACACUUGCAGCUGUCUCUUAGAGUACCAAUAAUGUGCCCUUUAGCUAAACAUUUUAUUCCCAUGUGAAGCUGCCCAGUUGUCACCAGUACUACAUUGAACUAUAUCAGGGUGUGGGUGGAAAACACAAUCAAACUGAUGAUGCAGACUCAGAGACUUUUGAACUAACUUUGAGGAAAACAUCAGAUUAUUUUGUUUAUUUUGCAAGUUGUAUUACUUGUGAAUGGAGAUGCUGAUACAACAAUAUGACAAAAGUAAUGUUAUGUAUAAUGUUUGUACUUUCUGGUUUUGAAUGAUUACAAAUUAGUCAUUCGAAUCUUAAGAAUAUUCUAUUGUGGAAUCGUGGUCGCAUUUUUGUAAAUGCCUUUGUCACUGUGAGUGAAAAAGUUAAAAGUGUUGCUAGCCUACUGUUAACCACGAUACUUGACAGAGACUAUAGCUGUGUUUUAUAAAAUCAAUUUAGCUUUAAUAUGAUGAAUAAUGUCAAGAAGUGGAUAUUGUGGAGUAGUUGUUUAAUACUGAUGCAAAGUAAAUACAAGCACUUUAACAGCUCAAUAAUAACAUGGUACUAAAUAGGUCAAUAUUUAUUAACAUCAGUGUGAUAGCGAGGUAAUACCAUGGUAUAUACUAUAUAUUUAUUCAUAUCCUGGUAUUAUGUUGAUAAUAAUGAUAAUUAAUGGUAAUAUUGUGAUUUAAUUUUGAUAAUAGGGUAGGAAUGGUAGAAAACAUGGUGAGAUAAAGGAUUCUACCAUAUUAAAAAAAAAUGGAAAAGGGUGCUAUUGAGAGAUAAUGAUAAAGAAUAAUAAUACAGUAAUGUUCUAACAAUCUCAAAGUAAUAUGUAUUUUUCAGCAGUAAUAAAAGAGGUAAGUAACAAUUGAACACCCUCCCAAUUAUGUGGAAAUUACUGUUAAAUGUGCUCUGUAUAUGGUAUGAUUUUUUUCACUUAUAAACAGAUCAAUCAAUAAAUAGAUCACAUAUUUUCUGGAAGUGUUUGGCAGUAUAAUCUAUUAUGAUGCUUGUCUCUGAUACUUAACACAGAAACAGAGGUCAUUUCCUGGACACAGAUGGUGGUUUCACUGUAACAAACAUGAACUGUAGCUUUAAAAUAUGAAAAACGCAUGUUUCAUUUUGGAAUUAUCUUGGUGAUUUGAAAUUCAAUACACUGUAAAGGAACAGUUCAGCCAAUAAGCAAGGUUAUUUAGUCACAAUCUACUCACCUCAUGUGGUGAUGUCUUGUCAGGUAAAAUUUCUUAGAUCACAAAACAUUUCUGGGGCCUUACAGUAAAACAGCUUUGUAGCAGUUUCAUGAACAACUAAAGAAGCUUGGGACUUGACACAUUUAAACAUUUAAAAAUAAAUCAUGAAAUGAAUUCAUACAGCUGGAAGUAAGUCUCAGGAUUAUAUUAU